CAUGGAAGCUUUUUGUGUGUCUCGCAUCCAUGAAAUACAGCCAGACCAACACUGAACCAUCCUACACAACUAGCAAACUGAUUGGAGGAUCAACACAACAAUCUGCACAACCUGAACCACAGAAUUCAGCAGGUACGCGACAUGAAGAGCUGAACUUGGGGAGCAAGAAGCCACGAAGGAAUGCAAGCAUAGAACCAGGCAGAUGAACAGGUAUUGAUCAAAUAGAAGAAUGAAAACUCCAACAGUGGCCACUCAAUUAAAGCUCACUUCUACAGAGGGCAGAUCUGUCCUUUACUGACACACACUAGUGCAGUGUAGACUGGAUUCCACUUAUUUGUUUAGCAUCUCCCUACUGGACUAGACUGAAAAAUGCUCCUGCCAUUUGAGAGCUGAGUGAUGGG